AGUGAACGCUGGCGGUAGGCCUAACACAUGCAAGUCGAACGGCAGCACAGUAAGAGCUUGCUCUUACGGGUGGCGAGUGGCGGACGGGUGAGGAAUACAUCGGAAUCUACUUUUUCGUGGGGGAUAACGUAGGGAAACUUACGCUAAUACCGCAUACGACCUACGGGUGAAAGCAGGGGAUCUUCGGACCUUGUGCGAUUGAACGAGCCGAUGUCGGAUUAGCUAGUUGGCGGGGUAAAGGCCCACCAAGGCGACGAUCCGUAGCUGGUCUGAGAGGAUGGUCGGCCACACUGGAACUGAGACACGGUCCAGACUCCUACGGGAGGCAGCAGUGGGGAAUAUUGGACAGUGGGCGCGAGCCUGAUCCAGCCAUACCGCGUGGGUGAAGAAGGCCUUCGGGUUGUAAAGCCCUUUUGUUGGGAAAGAAAAGCAGCAGGUUAAUACCCCGCUGUUCUGACGGUACCCAAAGAAUAAGCACCGGCCAACUUCGUG
rnacentral:rRNA from 1 species